rnacentral:lncRNA from 1 species
UUAUCUUACAUAAAUGAUGAACAAUAGACAACAAUUAAUCAUUUAAACUAAACUAAAUAAAAGGAAAACUACAAUGAAACAGAUACAAACAAAAACCAUAUCAAUCACUAAAGAGAAAUUAAAAUGAAAGCUAAAGCAUGAUAAAAAUGACAAAGCAUCCAAUAACCAAUGAACCCAUUAUAUCCCAAGAUUAAAAAAAAAGUGAGAACAAUGAAAGGAUAGAUAUGGACCUUAAGAUGCUACUUUGAAUUUUGAUUACUUUACAACAUCAAAAUCAAAAGAAGACUAAACUGUGAACAAGUACGAAUGGAUGCCGUACCGAAAAAUCGAUCGAAAACCUCGACUGUUCUCUCAACCCAGAGACGCUGCGUAUUUGCUGUUUUAUUUUAUGUGCUUCGAUGGUGUUUCACGGUGGUUGUGAGCUGAUUUAAGAGUGGUUUUCAUGGCUAAAAGUUGUUGGAAUUUUUAUUGGUUUUGGUCUAAGAGAGAGGUGGCUAACGGUGGAGUUUUACAUGACAGUUUGGUGGACUUUCGGACUGGUUUUUUAGUUGUUCCUUGGAGGAAAAGGACCUGGUCGGAGGUGGUGUAAUAAAGACGGAGAGAAGGCUGUUUCUAGGGUGUUUCAGGGACUGUUUGGGGUGAGUUUUUGAGCUGUUUAGCAGCUGGGUUUUGGUGGUCUUUUGGAGGUGUUUCUGGGUGAUUUAUGGACUGUUUUUGAAGCUGUUUGGUGGCUGUUUUGGGGGCUGAUUUGGGCAGUUUCUGGGGCGAGUUUGGCAGAGAUUCAUUGCUGGUUUUUGGCUGGAAAAGGCUGUUUUUCAGCUGCUUUUGGAGCUGUUUUUGGGAGUGAUUUUCGGCUAUUUUUCAGCUGGAUUUUUGGAGGUCGUUUUUAGUGGAUCCCCCGAGCCGAUUUCUGGUUAUAGAUCUUAUGCUAUUUGGAUGGUUGUUACCCUUGUGAGUGGUGGGACAAAGAGUGAGGGACAUGAGUGAGGGACAAGGAGUGGGGGAUAUGAGUUGGGGAUUGAGUGGGGACACGCGUGGGGAAAACGGGAGCGGGAAUGAUGGAGUGAGAAGUAAGGUGUUGGAGAGAUGAGUGGGAAAAUAUUCGAGCAUAGUCAAAAAUUAGGUGCUCACAGCAUGCACCUCUUUGCUUGGAAACACGAAGAGUUUUCAGGCAAAGAAAAGAUGAGCGAUAUGACUAAUAUUUAGCCAUACCAUUAUUCAAAAGGGAAGAGAUAAGAGAAAAGAGUGCGACCGAGUCUUGGUUAUGGACAAUCUACAUAUCCCGGGUUAUAAGGAAAUCAGGUCGUGUGUAGCUUAAGAAGAGUGAUGGAAUGAUGAGUUGGAGAGUCGAGUGAGGUUUCGUCGAGGCUCCGGUCUGUGGUCCUGUUAUUACAUCAAAAUUAAAAGAAACUAAACAAACCUAUCAGCUAUGAGUUACAAGAUUCCUAUUUAUAAGUCUUCUAAAACUUGAUCUUGAAUCUUGACUGGUUUUUUAUGCAGACUCUGAUCUGAACCUUGAUGCUUGCUAGCUGUGGAUGCCAGUUCAUUCUUCUACAUCUUCUUCUAAUCAAUGGGGAGUGCAAUGUUCGUGACUUUAGUCAUUUCUUGAGCAAUCCAUAUCUUUUCUAUCUAGUUCUGCAUUUGGAUUCAGUUCUUUUUCUUUUAUUUUCUUUAUUCUGGAUUGAGACUUCUUCUUUGGUCAUCUUGAACCAUGUGCCUCGAGGUAAAACCUACUCAAACACCAAAAUAAACAAACGAACAAAAAUUUUCUGCCUAGUUUUCACUAGGAAAUUUCAUGAAUUAUUGUAACAAAAUUCUAAACUACUUCUGUAUUAAAAACACUAAAGUGUCGGGAAUGGUGUAUCCUGGGAAAAUAUGGUAAUGAUUCUUGUCAAAAUGAUGUCUCAACUAAGGAUUGGUGUACCUUAUAUUGGAAAAAUGCAACUAAGGAUUGGUGUACCCUAUACUGGUAAGAAGACUAGUGAGUGGUGUACCAUACAUUUAAGAUCAAAUCAACUAGGGAGUGGUGUACCAUAUGUUGGAAAACAUAGCUAGAGAUUGGUGUACCCUUUACUGGUAAGGAGAUCAGGGAGUGAUGUACCCUGCCUUUAAGAUCAAAUCAACUAGGGAAUGGUGUACCCUAUGUUAGAAAACACGGCUAGGGAUUGGUAUACCCUAUACUGGUAAGGAGAUCAGGGAGUGGUGUACAUCAACUAGGGAGUGGAGACCCUAUGUUGGAAAUCAUAUAUAGGGAUUGGUGUACCCUAUACUGGUAAGGAUACUAAGGAGUAGUGACUCUAUAUUACGGAAAAAGAAAAUGUAACCAGGGGUUGAUACCCUGUAUUACUGAUAAGAAAAUAUAACCAGGGGUUGGUGCCCUGUAUUACUGAAAAGGAAAUGUAACCAAGGGUUGGUGCCCUGUAUUACUGAAAAGAAAAUGUAACCAGGGAUUGAUACCCUGUAUUACUGAUAAAAUGUUGAAUCCCCUAGGCGAAAAGGUUCUACCUGGGUUAAACUACGAAAAGCAAGCCUGGGCGAAGAGUACUUCUACCCGAAAAUAUGAGCUGGAUCCCCCUAGGGAAAAAGGUUCUACCUGGGUUAAGCUACGAAAAGCAAGCCUGGGUGAAGAGUACUUCUACCCGAAAAUAUGAGCUGGAUCCCCAUAGGCGAAAAGGUUCUACCUGGGUUAAGCUAUGAAAAGCAAGUCUGGGCGAAGAGUAGUUCUACCCGAAAAUAUGAGCGGGACCCCCUAGGGAAAAAUGUUAUAUCUAAGUUAAGCUACAUGAAACAACCUAAGCGAAGAGUACUUCUACCCGGAACUAUGAGUUGGAUCCCCCUAGGCGAAAUGGUUCUACCUGGGUUAAUCUACGUAAAAGAGCCUGGACGAAGAGUACUUCUACCAGGAAAUAUGAGCUGGAUCCCCCUAGGCAAAAAGGUUCUACCUAGGUUAAGCUACGAAAAGCACCCUGAGCGAAGAGUACUUAUACCCGGAACUAUGAACUGGAUCCCCCUAGGUGGAAAGGUUCUACCUGGGUUAAGCUACGUAAAACAUCCAUAGCAAAGAGUACUUCUACCCAAAACUAUGAGUUGGAUCCCCCUGGGUGAAAAGGUUCUACUUGGAUUAAGCUACGUAAAAUAUCCUGAGUGAAGAGUACUUUUACACGGAACUAUAAGCUGGAUCCCCUUAGGCAAAAAGGUUCUACCUAGGUUAAGCUACAUAAAACUUCCUGAGCGGAGAGUACUUCUAUCCGAAACUAUGAGCUGGAUCCCUCUAGGCGAAAAGGUUCUACCUGGGUUAAGCUACGUAAAACAUCCUGAGCGAAGAGUACUUCUACCCGGAACUAUAAGCUGGAUCCCCCAAGGCGACAAGGUUAUACCUGGGUUAAGCUACGAAAAUGGGAGGUAUGAAUAGUAGUGACGCAUGCUGAAAAUAAAAGAAAAUGGAGAUUUUGAGGAACUUAACUUUUAUGACAUUCGUCCUUUAGGAAUUGCCAUUCUGCACUGCUUUGUUCCUGCUGCAAACAAAGAAAAAUUGUGAGUAUUCAAAGUGGUGAUCAGUUUGUGGCCUUGAUGCCCUUAUUGAGGUUGGGUGUCUUUUUAAUGUAUCUGUUCGCUUCAAUGUAUCUGUUCGCUUCAAAGUUUUGGGUUCUAUUCCCUAGUAGAGUCGCCAGAACUGUCACACCCUUUUUUUUCCGAGGAAUAUAUAUGUAUGGAUUGUUAUGGGUUAAAGAGUUUUUUCAAUUAAAGUGAUAUUUUUGAAAUAUGAAUUAUUUUAUUAUUCAGAGUCGCCACUUGGAAUUUGAUUUUUGGGUGUUCCAAGUCACCUUUUAUUUGAAUCUCUAUUUAAAGGAAGAUUUGACUCGUUUAUUAUUGGUCUGCGAAAAUAAAGUCCGGGUAAGGAUUUUUGUUGACCGGGGAGAAGGUGUAUUCCCCGAGUCCGUGGUUCUAGCACGGUCGCUUUAUUGACUACAACUUGGCUUGAAUUAAUUUUGGAUAAACUGUGAUUUAUUGGUUUUCAUGUUUUAUCUAUCCGCUUUUAAUUAUUAAAAUAUGGAUUUAUAUUUGAAACGAAUCACCUGUGUGAAUCUGUUUUAUUUAUUGUGCCAAAAUUAUGUCACGCGUAUGUGUACACAAUUAAUAGCAUUUUAUUAUAUUAAGAUUGUUUUGGCCAAAGUUGCGCAAAUACAUACUUCGAUUUUAAUUUUGGAAAUCACAAUUAUGCCACGUGAAUGUAUACGUAAUCGCGAUAAACUAAUUAAAAGCACGCCCAAAGUACUCUAUCAGUGUUCAUUAUUCUAGUAAACAUAUAGCCCAAAGACACUUUUUAAUUCUCGUUGAACUAAUUCGUUAUUUUAAUGGGUCAAUACAGCAAGACAAACCCAAACCUCUAUUCGCUCUCUUAGUCCCAACUCCACACACUCAAUUUACCCAAUUAAACAAAUUAUAUUAAACCCCAAUUAUCUUACCUAAAUGAUGAACAAUACACAACAAUUAAUCAUUUAAACUAAACUAAAUAAAAGAAAAACUACAAUGAAACAGAUACAAACAAAAACCAUAUCAAUCACUAAAGAGAAUUUAAAAUGAAAGCUAAAGCAUGAUAAAAACGACAAAGCAUCCAAUAACCAAUGAACCCAUUAUAUCCCAAGAUUAAAAAAAUAAAGUGAGAACAAUGAAAGGAUAGAUAUGGACUUUAAGAUGUUACUUUGAAUUUUGAUUACUUUACAACAUCAAAAUCAAAAGAAGGCCAAACCGCGAACAAGUACGAACUGAUGCCGUGCCGGAAAAUCGAUCGAAAACCUCGACUGUUCUCUCAACCCAUAAACGUUACGUAUUUACUGUUUUAUUUUAUGUGCUUCGAUGGUGUUUCACUGUGGUUGUGAGCUGAUUUUAGACUGGUUUUCAUGGCUAAAAGUUGUUGGGUUUUUUUACUGGUUUUGGUCUAAGAGAGAGGUGGCUAACGGUGGAGUUUUAUAUGACGGUUUGGUAGACUUUCGGACUGGUUUUUCAGCUAUUCCUUGAAGGAAAAGGAGCUGGUCGGGGGUGGUGUAAUUACAAUGGAGAGAGGGCUAUUUCUAUGGUAUUUUAGGGACUGUUUGGGAUGAGUUUUUGAGUUGUUUAGCAGCUGGGAUUUGGUGGUCUUAUGGAGGUGUUUCCGGGUGAUUUAUGGACUGUUUUUGAAGCUGUUUGGUGGCUGUUUUGGGGGCUGAUUUGGGCAGUUUCUGGGGCGAGUUUGGUAGAGAUUCAUUGCUGAUUUUUGGCUGGAAAAGGGGCUAUAUUUUAGCUAUUUUGGGGGGUGAUUUUUGGUUUUUUUUCAGCUGGAGUCUUGGAGGUCAUUUUUAGUGGAUCCCCUGAGCCGAUUUCUGGUUGUAGAUCUUAUGCUAUUUGGAUGGUUGUUACCUUAGAAGAUAGACCAUGUUUGGAUGGUUUUCUACGGCAGAAAUGGGGUAUGGUGUUUGUGAGUGGAGGAUAAAGAGUGGGGGGACAAAUAGUAGGGGACAUGAGUGGGGGAAUGCGUGGAGUGGGGACACGCGUGGGGAAAAUGGGAGCGGGAAUGAUGGAGUGAUAAGUGAGGUAUUGGUGAGAUGAGUGGGAAACAAUUCAAGCAUAGUCAAAAAUUAGGUGUUCACACAACCUAUGAACCAAGUAAUUGUCAAUGGUGAUUGUAAUCGCAGAUAAAAUUUUUUAGAUCAAUGUCGUGUCUCCAAUAUCAAAAGCAAUCGCUCAAUUUCUUAUUUUUUGUUCAAAUCCUGAUGAGAUCCCAAUGGAGAUAAGCUACAAUGUGUGGGACCCAUCUAAAAGGAAAUAAAGAAAAAGAUGGAAAAAGUUGCAAGUUGGGCGGCAGAUGAAAAAAAUUGCAAGUUGAGCGGUUGAAAUUUACAAGUCACAAAAAAACAUGUUUUGACCGAUGGAAAUUUGCACUGCAAAUUGCAAAGAAUAAACCAUUCUGAUUGGUCCAAUGGUAGGCAAGUUUUUCUAUAAAUAGCAGGCUUCAUUUCUCUUUUGAAAUACACCAAAAAAUGAGAGAAGCCAAGCAGAAAGCAAGGCAGUGAGAGUAAUCCACAGAUUGUUGUAUGUGAGAUAAGUUGUGAGUGGUAGUAAUAUUAUAGUGAAGUAUUUAAAAUAAAGAGUGUUAUUUCUUUUGAAGUUGUAGUUGUCUUUUGACACUACCAAGUUGUAAUAUUAUAGUAGUAUUAUAUUACUUCACUCGAGUAUUAUAUUUUACCCCGAUAAAAGAUUUG